UUGAGCGGCGAGUGUGCUGAACUUCCUCAGGUUCGGAAUGCAG
rnacentral:SRP_RNA from 15 species